AGGAUCCCCAUCUAUAAUGACCUCUGACCCCUGUAGGAGAUGGUGGGUCUGAUUAAACAGUCCCAGAUCCCCAUCUAAAAUGACCUCUGACCCCUGUAGGAGAUGAUAGGUCUGAUUUAAAUAGUCCAGGAUCCCCAUCUAUAAUGACCUCUGACCCCUGUAGGAGAUGAUGGGUCUGAUUAAAUAGUCCAGGAUCCCCAUCUAUAAUGACCCCUGAGCCCUGUAGGAGAAGAUGGGUCUGAUAAAACAGUCCAGGAUCCCCAUCAUCUGUAUGUGUAAUGACCUCUGACCCCUGACCCCUGUAGGAGAUGAUAGGUCUGAUUAAACAGUCCAGGAUCCCCAUCAUCUGUAUGUGUAAUGACCUCUGACCCCUGACCCCUGUAGGA
ensembl:lncRNA